rnacentral:lncRNA from 10 species
UUAGCAAUGUUGAUUCCUUCAGGAGCCUCUGAGGAAAAAGCCAUCCGUGCCUCUUUCCUAGCUUCUGAUGGUUACUGGCAGUCCUUGGUGUUCCUUGGCUUAUAGAUGCAUCCCUCCAAUCUCAGCCUCCAUCUUCACAUUGCUGCCUUCUCUGUGUCUCUCUGUGUCUUCUCCUCUUAUAAGGACACUAAUCAUUGAAUUUAGAGCCUACUGUAAAUCCAGGGUGAUUUCACCUAGAGAUCCUUAACUGAUUGUAUCUGCAAAUAUCUUGUUUCCAAGUAAGAUCACAUUCACAGGUACCAGGGGUUAGGAUUUGUACAUUUCUUUUUGUGGAGUGAUGGAGAGGGGGUACAAUUCCUUCCCUGUAGAAGGAAGUUUAAUUUAGAUUGGAAAUAAUUUGGUUUAUCUUUUAACUUUUAUUUAUUUUUAUUUUUAUUUUUUUGAGACAGGGUCUCACUCUGUCUCCCAGGCUGAGUGCAGUGGUGCUAUCUCGGCUCCCUGCAACCUCUGUCUCCUGGGCUCAAGUGAUCCCUCAGCCUCCCAAGUAGCCAGGACUACAGGUGCGCGCCACCACACCCGGCCACGUUUUUUGUUUGUUUUUUUGUGGAGACGGAGUUUUGCCACGUUGUCCAGGCUGAUCUCAAACUCCUGGGCUCUUGUGAUCCAUCUGCCACAGCCUCCCAAA